CCUACGGGUGGCAGCAGUGGGGAAUAUUGCACAAUGGGGGAAACCCUGAUGCAGCGACGCCGCGUGAGUGAAGAAGUAUCUCGGUACGUAAAGCUCUAUCAGCAGGGAAGAAAAUGACGGUACCUGACUAAGAAGCCCCGGCUAACUACGUGCCAGCAGCCGCGGUAAUACGUAGGGGGCAAGCGUUAUCCGGAUUUACUGGGUGUAAAGGGAGCGUAGACGGCAGCACAAGUCUGGAGUGAAAUCCCGGGGCUUAACCCCGGAACUGCAUUGGAAACUGUGCGGCUGGAGUGCGGGAGGGGUAGGCGGAAUUCUUAGUGUAGGGGUAAAAUGCGUAGAGAUUAGGAGGAAUACUGGUGGCGAAGGCGGCUUACUGGACUGUAACUGACGUUGAGGCGCGAAAGCGUGGGGAGCAAACAGGAUUAGAUACCCUGGUAGUC
rnacentral:rRNA from 1 species